rnacentral:tRNA from 1 species
GCUGAAGUGGCACAGUUGGUAGCGCAGCUGAUUCGUAAUCAGCAGGUCGUGGGUUCGAGUCCCAUCUUCAGCUCCA